UUUUAGAUAUGUAUAUUACCUAUGUAAGGUUAAGUAUUACCGUUUAAGACUGCAUCAUGCUUAGUUAGGCUAGGUCCAAGGUUAUCAUUAGCCUGGGUACCAGUCUCUUAGUUAGGCUAGGUCCAAGGUUAUCAUUAGCCUGGGUACCAGUCUCUUAGUUAGGCUAGUUCCAAGGUUAUCAUUAGCCUGGGUACCAGUCUCUUAGUUAGGCUAGGUCCAAGGUUAUCAUUAGCCUGGGUACCAGUCUCUUAGUUAGGCUAGGUCCAAGGUUAUCAUUAGCCUGGGUACCAGUCUCUUAGUUAGGCUAGGUCCAAGGUUAUCAUUAGCCUGGGUACCAGUCUCUUAGUUAGGCUAGGUCCAAGGUCAUCAUUAG